rnacentral:rRNA from 1 species
CCUACGGGAGGCAGCAGUGGGGAAUAUUGCACAAUGGGCGAAACCCUGAUGCAGCAACGCCGCGUGAGUGAAGAAGUAUCUCGGUAUGUAAAGCUCUAUUAGCAGGGAAGAAGAAAGACGGUACCAGACUAAGAAGCAUCUGCUAACUACGUACCAGCAGCCGAGGUCAUACGUAGGGGGCAAGCUUUUUCCGGAUUUACUGGGUGUAAAGGGAGCGUAGACGGCUGGUCAAGUCUGAUGUGAAAUGUCGUGGCUCAACCGCGGAACUGCUUCUGAUCCUGAAUAGCUUGAGUACUGGAGAGGUAGGCGGAAUUCGUAGUGUAGCGGUGAAAUGCGUAGAUAUUAGGAGGAACACCAGUGGCGAAGGCGGCCUGCUGGACAGAAACUGACGUUGAGGCUCGAAAGCGUGGGGAUCAAACAGGAUUAGAUACCCGGGUAGUC